GUUUCACCAUGUCGCCCAGGCUGGUCUUGAAGAACUGUUGAGCUCAAGCAGUCCACCUACCUUGGCCUCCCAAAGUGCUGGGAUUACAGGUGGUGGAUUCUGGAUGGCCGAUGCUGAUUGGUUAAUACCCUGGAGAAGCUGAAGUCAUGAAGCCUUUUCUUUUCCUUUUUGUUUCACUCCUUUUCCUGAAAAAGCCAUGUAUGUGGCUGGGAGCAGUUGUGUGAUUUUAGAGUUAGAAGGCAUGUUGAAUUUUAGGAACAGUACUUUUCCUUGAAAAUGCUGUUAUUCCUUUGGAAACAAAUUUUAGAAUCACCACACUUCCUUGAAAAUGCUAUUAUUCCUUUUGAAACUACUGCAAUCUUCAUGUUUUCUUCAUUUUGCUUUGUUGGUUUUAUAGGUGAGGUUCUGUUUUUGUAUCUCAGCCCCACCAAACUUGCUUGUUGCUGAAGAAGCUGAACCUGUUCCAUUAGAAGAUCUUCCAAAGCCAAAAGAAAGUGAGACUGACUGCAGACUUACUGGCUGCAGCAGAGAGGAGUAAGAGGAAGUCAGAGAAGAAGAGAUGAUUUGACACUCAUUGGGGGAAAAGGAAGAGCAGAAUUGUUUUGUUAGAAUUGAAUUUUUCCAUUGGGACAAGGAAUUAACUUGGAAGAGUUUGGGGGGUUGUGUUCAAUUCUGUAGAUGGUAGCAACUUUGAUGAAUUUCGUUUAGUUUGUUAAAUAGUUAUUGUCUAAUAUGUGUUAGGAGCUAGACUUAUAGGUUAUUAUUUGGUGCACACAUCAUAAUCCUUGUUGCUGAGUUGGUUAGAAGAUAGGAGAGAGCAAAUUUGGGAUACAAAUUAGAUCAGGGGUAUCUUCUUUGCCUUGCAUGUAGUGUUGCCUUAGGUAAAACCAAUUUAAAUAACAUCUAGAUCCAUUUUUGCAGUUUUGUGGGCAAUGUGAAAGAGACUUGCAUGAAAGGUCUUGAGUAACCAAACUGCUAGUCUCAUUGGUUUGCAGGUGAGACAAAUAAGCAGUGGCAAAGUUCAGGAAAGUGGUCUUACAGAAGUGCAGGCAGGGCUUUUCUGAUUGUCUGCUGAUUUCCUCCUUUGAGAGGGACAGAUAUUUUCCUGGCUGCCAGUAAGCCUGCAUGAGAGACCACUGGGGUGUCUUGAAGAAAGACAGUGCUCUGAGGAGUAUUCACUACACACUCCAGCCCUCAGCCUCGGGCUGCCCCAAUUCCAAGUCCCUUUCUAGUCAAUAGGUGGAUGAAGAACAAAAUGGAUUUCAAGGACAGACAGACAGACAUAAGGGCUGUGGGCUAUGGAUGCUGUUUCUCUUGAGAGGACUAAUUGGGUUAAAAAUAAAACUGGACAGGGGCGAGCACUCUUGGGAAUGCCCCUGGACCCUUCCUCUUUGGCGUGUUCUCUGCAGGCUCCCCCAAGGCAGCUGCUGCAAGGCAAGGAGGGAUCCAGGGUAGAGCUCAGGGGUGGUGGGUUAGAUCUGCCUCCAGUCCAAGCUAAAGAUGUCUUCAAGUUUCCCUGUAAGAUCCCGCCCAGCUCACCAAAAUCAACCUUUGUCAGGGGUUUUCUGAUCCUAACU
rnacentral:sRNA from 1 species